rnacentral:rRNA from 1 species
UACGGGGGGAGCAAGCGUUGUUCGGAUCUACUGGGCGUAAAGGGCGCGUAGGCGGCGUAACAAGUCACUUGUGAAAUCUCCGGGCUUAACCCGGAGCGGCCAAGUGAUACUGUUGUGCUAGAGUGCGGAAGGGGCUACUGGAAUUCUCGGUGUAGCGGUGAAAUGCGUAGAUAUCGAGAGGAACACCUGCGGCGAAGGCGGGUAGCUGGGCCGACACUGACGCUGAGGCGCGAAAGCUAGGGGAGCAAACGGG